UGUAUAAUGGGUCAGCGACUUAUAUUCUGUAGCAAGGUUAACCGAAUAGGGGAGCCGAAGGGAAACCGAGUCUUAACUGGGCGUUAAGUUGCAGGGUAUAGACCCGAAACCCGGUGAUCUAGCCAUGGGCAGGUUGAAGGUUGGGUAACACUAACUGGAGGACCGAACCGACUAAUGUUGAAAAAUUAGCGGAUGACUUGUGGCUGGGGGUGAAAGGCCAAUCAAACCGGGAGAUAGCUGGUUCUCCCCGAAAGCUAUUUAGGUAGCGCCUCGUGAAUUCAUCUCCGGGGGUAGAGCACUGUUUCGGCAAGGGGGUCAUCCCGACUUACCAACCCGAUGCAAACUGCGAAUACCGGAGAAUGUUAUCACGGGAGACACACGGCGGGUGCUAACGUCCGUCGUGAAGAGGGAAACAACCCAGACCGCCAGCUAAGGUCCCAAAGUCAUGGUUAAGUGGGAAACGAUGUGGGAAGGCCCAGACAGCCAGGAUGUUGGCUUAGAAGCAGCCAUCAUUUAAAGAAAGCGUAAUAGCUCACUGGUCGAGUCGGCCUGCGCGGAAGAUGUAACGGGGCUAAACCAUGCA
rnacentral:rRNA from 1 species